UGUAGGGGAGAGCCGGACCGCUGACACGAUGCUCUCCCAACGUGUCACAUAACGGCGUGAAACCUACCCUGGCUCUGCUGCAAAAGCAGAGCUCUGCUGGCCCGGGACCCAUUGGGAAUGGGAGAGUUUAAGCAACCCUGAUGAAUGGUGGGCAUAUUGCAAGCGCUCUGUGCAUGCCUGCGUGGAGGAGCAGACUUUGUGGCGAGUUGGGCAGAAACUUUGGUGGUUUCUCUGCCGGGCUGCGGUGUGCCGAGAGCCUCGGAGCGUGUUGUGUUUGAUGGAAUGUUUUCACUGUUCAAAGUUUAGAAAAAAAUGUGGAUGUGAUUAAAAUAUUAUAACCUUAUGAUAUUCUGAAGUGCAUAAAUUUUGCAUAUCAGCUACAGAGGGAGUUUAGACAUCCAUUAAAUGAUAUGACAGCUUGACUUAUCUAAAUGUGCUAUCAUUUAACAAUGUGUCAAAAUUCUUCUUUAUAUAGAUGACAGCAGUAAAUAAGCUAUCAGUCCUCUUGGCUGCAGCUUAAUUCCUCAAGCUUGGACUAAUAAACUGAACUGCACAGUUGUAGCAGAGCCUGUGGGCAGGGUAAC